rnacentral:rRNA from 1 species
UACGUAGGGCCCGAGCAUUAUCCGGAAUUAUUGGGCGUAAAGAGCGUGUAGGUGUCUUAUCAAGUCGGUCGUUAAAUCUCAGAGCUCAACUCUGGGACCGCGAGCGAUACUGAUGAGAUUGAGGUUUGCAGGGGCUAGCAGAAUUUCUGGAGUAGGGGUGAAAUCCGUUGAUACCAGAAGGAAUACCAAUGGCGAAGGCAGCUAGCUGGGCAAUACCUGACACUGAGACGCGAAAGCGUGGGGAGCAAACGGG